CCGUAGCUCAGUUGGUUAGAGCGCACGCCUGAUAAGCGUGAGGUCGCUGGUUCAAAUCCAUUCGGGCC
rnacentral:tRNA from 19 species